AGUGGCGGCGCGGGGGCGAUUUGCUCAGGGGCUUUCCAUCGAUGCUGCUUGUCGCAUCUUAGAUGCAUUUGGUGAUCCUUCUUAGAUUUUGAAGCCUCAUGUGGGGGAUCACGCGGGCCUAGCUGCCAGGGUGCUCGAAUCUUUGGUGAGUGAUCCAGGGUAGUGGCCUCGGCGGCACAGCCUCAUGUUGCCUGCUCCAGUUCACCUUCCUUUACCAAUUCGCACAUAACGAGAAGGUGAUGCCAGGUCCUAACGUUUCUUCUCUUAUUUGGAUUUGGCUGAUUGCCGUAAUAUAGUUUGGUAAAGCUUGCAAUAGUCUAAUUCCACGGAAUUCUUGAUUAUGUGCUGCACUUUCCUCUUAUCAAGAUAGUUUCUAGCAGUGAAUUAUGAUUCUCUUAUGUCACGUCAUAGUAUUUAGAUGUUAAGAUGCUGCGUGAAUAAAGCUAGCAGCCUAGCUUACAAGUGGAAAAAAAAAAGAUCAUGCUCAUGUUUUUCAGUACUAGGAUGACAAUGUCAUGGCAUAAUAUGUGCUGAAUUUGUGCGUUCCUUGUUUUUAACCUUUUCUUGCUGUAUGGAUUAUAGAAUGAAGCCUCAAUUGGUUCUUUUUGAGUGCCUAAUUUUAUAUUGAUUCCACUCGAUUGAUUGGUGAAGCUUCUUGCUGGGAGUUCCUUUUUAGGAAUAUAGAGGUAUAUACCGGUAGCCUGAUGGGAUUUCUUCCUUGAGAGUCAGAGGAACCGGUAGUCAAAUAAUAGAGCUCAUCUAUUGGGAUGGCUAGCCACCACCACAACUCCUCUGCCAUCUUUCAGUAUUUCUGCUACUUAAGGAGGUAAUUUUAUUACGUCAAAUGUUUGUGUGUUAUUUAUAUAUGUUUGGGUUCAAGUCUUGCUCCGUUCGUGCUUUUUAGCUGAUGAGAGAUGCUGGGUCCGACCAACUUGUUCCUUACUAAUUCUGAUUAUGUUGCUUUUGUUACCAUGAUAAGCAAGUUCAUUCUGAGCUGACAUCACUGUAUAAAUAGGUAUAUGGGUAGGCUAUAUGUUACUACUUUCAUUGUUGAUUAGUUGAAUUGAUGUAUGUUUCAGAGCUUUGGGAAUUGAUUUAGCAUGGAUUGAUUGUGGGAAAGUGUAAUGUUAUUUUUAGCUCAAUUUGUCCAUGAUACUUUGUAAACAUUUUGACACUACAGAAUGAGUUCCUGGAGAUCUGUUGGUUUCAA